rnacentral:rRNA from 1 species
AGUGAACGCUGGCGGUAGGCCUAACACAUGCAAGUCGAACGGCAGCACAGAGGAGCUUGCUCCUUGGGUGGCGAGUGGCGGACGGGUGAGGAAUACAUCGGAAUCUACUCUGUCGUGGGGGAUAACGUAGGGAAACUUACGCUAAUACCGCAUACGACCUACGGGUGAAAGCAGGGGACCUUCGGGCCUUGCGCGAUUGAAUGAGCCGAUGUCGGAUUUAGCUAGUUGGCGGGGUAAAGGCCCACCAAGGCGACGAUCCGCAGCUGGUCUGAGAGGAUGAUCAGCGAAACUGGAACUGAGACACGGUCCAGACUCCUACGGGAGGCAGCAGUGGGGAAUAUUGGACAAUGGGCGCAAGCCUGAUCCAGCCAUACCGCGUGGGUGAAGAAGGCCUUCGGGUUGUAAAGCCCUUUUGUUGGGAAAGAAAUCCAGCUGGCUAAUACCCGGUUGGGAUGACGGUACCCAAAGAAUAAGCACCGGCUAACUUCGUGCCAGCCGCCGCCGUAA